CACGUAGGGCGCGAGCGUUGUCCGGAAUUACUGGGCGUAAAGCGUGCGCAGGCGGUGAUGUAAGACAGUUGUGAAAUCCCCGGGCUUAACCUGGGAACUGCGUUUGAAACUGGGAAGGCUUGAGUGUGGCAGGAGGGGGGUGGAAUUCCACGUGUAGCAGUGAAAUGCGUAGAGAUGUGGAGGAACACCGAUGGCGAAGGCAGCCCCCUGGGCUAACACUGACGCUCAUGCACGAAAGCGUGGGGGAGCAAACAGG
rnacentral:rRNA from 1 species